UGGCGGCAGUAGCGCGGUGGUCCCACCUGACCCCAUGCCGAACUCAGAAGUGAAACGCCGUAGCGCCGAUGGUAGUAUGGGGUCUCCCCAUGCGAGAGUAGGGAACUGCCA
rnacentral:rRNA from 1 species